ACAGGGAAAGUUCUGAUCAAAAUACACAAAGACACAAGCCAGGUCCCCACCAUGCUUGGUGAUGCAUCCAGAGCAGCCUCGGUGCUGUGGACACUCCCUGGGGCCCAGUGAAGGGGAGAGUUUGCUCCCAAAGGCACAUCAAUGACCAACAUUUGCCCCCCGGAGGAAAGAACUGGAACCAGCCUCUGACCUGUCCAGGUGCCCUGUCCAGCUGACUGCAAAGACAGAGAGGAGUCCUGCCCAGCUCUUGGAUCAGUCUGCUUGGCCAAGGAGCCCAGUGGAGCCGGGGGUGACCCUGGAGCCCAGCCUGCCCCGAGGAGGCCCUGGCUCAGAGCCAUGCCAGGUAGGCAGGUGUCUGUGAUAGGGCCCCUGACUUCCUCUCCCCGUCUGAAGACCAGGUGCUGAGGCCUGCCUUGGGCAGCUCAGUGGCUCUGAACUGCACGGCUUGGGUAGUCUCUGGGCCCCACUGCUCCCUGCCUUCAGUCCAGUGGCUGAAAGACGGGCUUCCAUUGGGAAAUGGGGGCCACUACAGCCUCCACGAGUACUCCUGGGUCAAGGCCAACCUGUCAGAGGUGCUUGUGUCCAGUGUCCUGGGGGUCAACGUGACCAGCGCUGAGGUCUAUGGAGCCUUCACCUGCUCCAUCCAGAAUGUCAGCUCCUCCUCCUUCACUCUUCAGAGAGCUGGCCCUACAAGCCACGUGGCUGCGGUGCUGGCCUCCCUCCUGGUCCUGCUGGCCCUGCUGCUGGCCGCCC
rnacentral:sRNA from 1 species